rnacentral:rRNA from 1 species
AACGAACGCUGGCGGCAGGCUUAACACAUGCAAGUCGAGCGCCCCGCAAGGGGAGCGGCAGACGGGUGAGUAACGCGUGGGGAUCUACCCAAUGGUACGGAAUAACCCAGGGAAACUUGGGCUAAUACCGUAUGUGCCCUCCGGGGGAAAGAUUUAUCGCCAUUGGAUGAGCCCGCGUCGGAUUAGCUAGUUGGUGGGGUAACGGCCUACCAAGGCGACGAUCCGUAGCUGGUCUGAGAGGAUGAUCAGCCACACUGGGACUGAGACACGGCCCAGACUCCUACGGGAGGCAGCAGUGGGGAAUAUUGGACAAUGGGCGAAAGCCUGAUCCAGCCAUGCCGCGUGGGUGAUGAAGGCCUUAGGGUUGUAAAGCCCUUUCGGCGGGGACGAUAAUGACGGUACCCGCAGAAGAAGCCCCGGCUAACUUCGUGCAGCAGCCG